rnacentral:rRNA from 1 species
GACGAACGCUGGCGGCGUGCUUAACACAUGCAAGUCGAACGGAAAGGCCCUGCUUGCAGGGUACUCUAGUGGCGAACGGGUGAGUAACACGUGUGUGUUCUGCCCUCCACUUCGUGAUAAGCCUUGGAGACUGGGUCUAUUAUCGGAUAUGAGCCAUCCUUCGUGUUAUGGUUGGAUAGUUUUUUGGGUGUGGGAUGAGAUCGCGGCCUAUUUGCUUGUUGGUGGGGUAAUUGCCUACCAAGGCGGCGACGGGUAGCCGGCCUGGGGGGGUGGACGGCCACAAUGGGGAUGAGAAAAGGCCCAGAAGCCGACGGGGGGGAGGAGGGGGGGAUAAUGCACAAAGGGGGGGAGCCCGAUGGAGCGAAGCCGGGGGGGGGAAGGCGGGCUUCGGGUUGGAAAAGCGUUUCGCUAGGGAAGGAGCUUUUUGUGACGGUACCUAGAUAAGAAGCACCGGCUAACUACGUG